rnacentral:rRNA from 1 species
GACGAACGCUGGCGGCGUGCUUAACACAUGCAAGUCGAACGGAAAGGCCCUGCUUUUGUGGGGUGCUCGAGUGGCGAACGGGUGAGUAACACGUGAGUAACCUGCCCUUGACUUUGGGAUAACUUCAGGAAACUGGGGCUAAUACCGGAUAGGAGCUCCUGCUGCAUGGUGGGGGUUGGAAAGUUUCGGCGGUUGGGGAUGGACUCGCGGCUUAUCAGCUUGUUGGUGGGGUAGUGGCUUACCAAGGCUUUGACGGGUAGCCGGCCUGAGAGGGUGACCGGCGACAGUGGGACUGAGAGACGGACCAGGGUGGAAGAGGAGGCAACAGGGGAGACGCUUACACAGUGGGCGGGAGGCUGAUGCAACAACGCCACGAGCGGGAAGAGAGCCAGGGGGGUGGGAAGGGCAGUAACCUGUGACGAUGCGUGAGUGACGGGACUGGGUGAAGAAGCACCGGCUAACUACGUG